GACGUAGGAGGCGAGCGUUGUCCGGAUUCAUUGGGCGUAAAGAGCGCGCAGGCGGCUUGGUAAGUCGGAUGUGAAAUCCCGAGGCUCAACCUCGGGUCUGCAUCCGAUACUGCCCGGCUAGAGGUAGGUAGGGGAGAUCGGAAUUCCUGGUGUAGCGGUGAAAUGCGCAGAUAUCAGGAGGAACACCGGUGGCGAAGGCGGAUCUCUGGGCCUUACCUGACGCUCAGGCGCGAAAGCUAGAGGAGCGAACUGG
rnacentral:rRNA from 1 species